UGCGCGGUCGUAUAACGGCAGUAUACUGGGCUCAUAACCCGGAGAUGGAGGUUCGAUUCCUCCCUGCGCUA
rnacentral:tRNA from 1 species